GACGCGGGCGCUAGUACGUUGAAUGCAUCACCAGUUCUCAACGGAUCAUUGAAGUUAACCAACGUUGUGCGUGUUUGUAUACGGAUGGUAAACCAUCUGGGUAAUGGAGUGCUGCUGGCU
rnacentral:rRNA from 1 species